AACGAACGCUGGCGGCAUGCCUAACACAUGCAAGUCGAACGAGACCUUCGGGUCUAGUGGCGCACGGGUGCGUAACGCGUGGGAACCUGCCCUUAGGUUCGGAAUAACUCCCCGAAAGGGGUGCUAAUACCGGAUAAUGUCUUCGGACCAAAGAUUUAUCGCCUUUGGAUGGGCCCGCGUUGGAUUAGCUAGUUGGUAGGGUAAAAGCCUACCAAGGCGACGAUCCAUAGCUGGUCUGAGAGGAUGAUCAGCCACACUGGGACUGAGACACGGCCCAGACUCCUACGGGAGGCAGCAGUGGGGAAUAUUGGACAAUGGGCGAAAGCCUGAUCCAGCAAUGCCGCGUGAGUGAUGAAGGCCUUAAGGUUGUAAAGCUCUUUUACCCGGGAUGAUAAUGACAGUACCGGGAGAAUAAGCUCCGGCUAACUCCGUG
rnacentral:rRNA from 1 species